CUAUAGGAAUAUGAAUAACUCUAAUGUGUGACAUCACAAAGGCUCACAUUAGAAUGGGUGACUCAUGAGGACUAGAACUCUGAAUGUGUCUGCAUGACUUGUUUGCAGCUGAAUGGGACAGAGGGUCUCCUUUCUUUGGUUCUCCUUAGUUAUCACCCAUUUAACCUUGGAAGUGGAAGGGCCUUGUUAAUCCUGUGUUUCUACAAGUUCACACUCUCCCAUGGAGUUCUGCAAAGGCACUAAUGGCAAACAUCAGUCCUGAAGUCCCUGGUGAAUCAACCAUUUUAUGUUUGACCUCUUCUGUAAGCACAGCCCAGUGCUCCAUCAUGCCCAGUGAAUUGGCCGAAAAGCACUGCUUCUCUCAUAUAUCAGCAGAACCCCAUCCUUUCUUCAUCAUCUUCCAGUCUGUGUGAGACCUCUGCCUGUGAUAACCAAGCAUCCCCAAUGCUUCCUGUGAGCCAGUCCAUCAGGAAUAAUCUCUCUCAGAUUUCAUUAGAUUAAAUAGCCUAUAUUUCAAGGAGGUGGAACAGCAGAAUCUGAAAGAGAAGUUAUACAGUUGCCCAGCAGGGAUGCCUCUUUGCUGUCUCAGCCUGGAUGCCUGUGGCAACAGUUGCAGUAGGAACACCCUACCUGGAAGUCUUCCCGUCAGCAUCAUUGGAUCCUGGAAACCCACAAUUUCCUGCUCUUCACCAAGUUCUGGAUAGCCAGUGCCUGGCCAUAUCCUGACCCUGAGAACUCCUGACCUGGGUGUGUGCACACUGAGCAUUAGUGACAUGGAGGAAGAAGAGCACCUCUCCCCUCCCCUUCCUGGCAGACUAGCAUGCCGUUGUCUGAGCUCCAGAGGAACUCAGAGGCUCCACAAAGAAACAGGAGGACAUGCUGUGGAGGACGAUGAUAACAAAGAAAACCUGCCCAAGCAGGUAAAGAAAUAUCUCAGAAGAGCCUUGGAAAUUAAAUGUGCUUCUCUUUCUGAACUUUAGAGGGGAUCUCCUGAGAAGGGCAAUAUCCAUGGACCACCUGUCACAGGCCUCUACUAACAUGAUGAGGCAGAACUUGAGGUCAUACAAUUGGCCAAUUUCUCACUGGUAUUAGGCAGAG